CAUGAACCCAUACAUGCUGCGUAAAAGCAAUUAAAUUAUCCCGAGCGAGAGUCCAGCUCGAACCCUGAAGUGUGAGGUAGGGACGAGAGGGCGACCUCCACCCCCAACCUGCAUACAAAUUGAGUUUGGACUUGUCAACUCUGACUCUCUCUCCUCAACCCUUCGCAGAAUGCCUAUUUUUUAAUCGGUUGGAGAAACUUUGUCGUUCUCAGGAACUCACUGACCGGGAAAAUAUUUCACAACGUUGUGUUCAGCGCCAAUUCACGGAGGAUUGGGCUAGAAGCCAAUCUGAACAAUCUGAUGUUUCAUCGCCUCAACUUGAUGUGGAAUCAGAAGCCAGUCAUCAAUUUUAGUUCCCAUAGCCUCUACAGACCUCAUGUCAUCCACUUCCUCUACAAUCAAUGAAAAAAUCUCUUGCUCCCCACUAAGACUGCCUAGUGAUUUGGAUUCAAUACAAAUGGGAACGGGACUUGGGAUUGUUCUCAACGAACAAAACCAAAGGCAAGCAAAUUGGAUACCUGUCCCUUGGGAAACUUCGAUAGGUGGUCCACUUGGGGAGGUUUUGCACAAUACCAAUAACAGUGCUUCGGAGCGCAAGAAUUCAUCAGUGCUGAAUCUUUUAGCACAGGGAUGGAACAGGAGUCCUCAGUAAGGUUCAUCUCCAACUGGGGUUUUACAAAAGACAACAUUUUGUUCCCUUUCAAAUAGCAGCGCAGGAAGCAGCCGAAGAGCAGAGAUCAACAGGUCAAAUGAAGGGGCUAGCCUAUACAACAACCUGCUUGGCUCAAUUUUAGUGCAUUCUUCCUCAUUGCCUGCCUGUGAUGGCAGGCUAAUUAAAAAGACCCUAGCCAGGAAAAAGGUUCCUUAGACUGGCGAUGAGGAAUCUUAGCAUGGACUUCAGAAUUUUUUUUCCUUCUUCUUUAUUUGCAUGUAUCUGUAAGAACAAGUCCUUCACCUGCAGCAUUUUCGUUGGAAAGCAUGCUGCGGGUUAACUUUGAUGGUGAGGUGAAUUCUGAUUGUGCUGUAGCUGCCAAAACUAUUUGAUUUGCUGGAAGCUAAGAAAGGAAAAUUGGUUUUGUACUCUGCUA